UCGCGAUGCUGUUGGCCGUAGCCUUUGCUCUACCAGCACCCAACGAUGAUUUCCAAGCGCAAUUAAAUGCCAUUGGAGAGGCUAUCGAGAAUAACCCGGAACUUGCCAAUGGAUGGUUGGGUGAUGCAUGGAACUGGGUUAAGAACAACAAGGAUGCACUCGGCCAAAUUGCUGGCGGUAUCCUGAGCAUCGGUUAAAUGGAACUGACACAUUUGCUACUUGGACGAGAUGAUAUCCACACGUCGAAUGGAAUUGGAACGUUGAAUGAAUGAGUAUCAUCCAGCGAAUGUAAUACAUCUAGCAAUUUCUUUUCCUAAA